rnacentral:rRNA from 1 species
AUUGAACGCUGGCGGCAUGCCUUACACAUGCAAGUCGAACGGCAGCAUGGAGAGCUUGCUCUCUGAUGGCGAGUGGCGAACGGGUGAGUAAUGCAUCGGAACGUACCGUGUAAUGGGGGAUAACGUAGCGAAAGUUACGCUAAUACAGCAUACGACCUGAGGGUGAAAGCAGGGGCUUGCAAGACCUGGCGUUAUACGAGCGGCCGAUGUCAGAUUAGCUAGUUGGUGAGGUAAAGGCUCACCAAGGCGACGACCUGUAGCGGGUCUGAGAGGAUGAUCCGCCACACUGGGACUGAGACACGGCCCAGACUCCUACGGGAGGCAGCAGUGGGGAAUUUUGGACAAUGGGGGCAACCCUGAUCCAGCCAUGCCGCGUGAGUGAAGAAGGCCUUCGGGUUGUAAAGCUCUUUCGGCCGGGAAGAAAUCGCACAGGCUAAUACUCUGUGUGGAUGACGGUACCGGCAUAAGAAGCACCGGCUAACUACGUGCCAGCCGCCGCCGUAA